rnacentral:rRNA from 1 species
UCGGGAAUUUUGGGCAAUGGGCGAAAGCCUGACCCAGCAACGCCGCGUGAAGGAUGAAGUAUUUCGGUAUGUAAACUUCGAAAGAAUAGGAAGAAUAAAUGACGGUACUAUUUAUAAGGUCCGGCUAACUACGUGCCAGCAGCCGCGGUAAUACGUAGGGACCAAGCGUUGUUCGGAUUUACUGGGCGUAAAGGGCGCGUAGGCGGCAAUUCAAGUCAUCUGUGAAAUCUCCGGGCUUAACUCGGAACGGUCAGAUGAUACUGCUUUGCUAGAGUGCAGAAGGGGCAAUCGGAAUUCUUGGUGUAGCGGUGAAAUGCGUAGAUAUCAAGAGGAACACCUGAGGUGAAGACGGGUUGCUGGGCUGACACUGACGCUGAGGCGCGAAAGCGUGGGGAGUAAACAGGAUUAGAUACCCUAGUAGUCCCUGAGCGGGCUGGCAAGGCGCAU